rnacentral:rRNA from 2 species
UUGGAGGGCAAGUCUGGUGCCAGCAGCCGCGGUAAUUCCAGCUCCAAUAGCGUAUAUUAAAGUUGUUGCAGUUAAAAAGCUCGUAGUUGAAUUUCGGGAUCGACGGGUCGGUCGCGCCUCUGGUGUGUACUGGCCCUGUCGGUUUCUCCCUUCUGACGAACCACGAUGUCAUUAAUUUGGUGUCGUGGGGAAUCAGGACUGUUACUUUGAAAAAAUUAGAGUGUUUAAAGCAAGCAUUCGCUUGAAUACAUUAGCAUGGAAUAAUGAAAUAGGACGUUUGAUCUUAUUUUGUUGGUUUCUAAGAUCGACGUAAUGAUUAAUAGGGAUAGUUGGGGGCAUUAGUAUUCAAUUGUCAGAGGUGAAAUUCUUGGAUUUAUUGAAGACUAACUACUGCGAAAGCAUUUGCCAAGGAUGUUUUCAUUAAUCAAGAACGAAAGUUAGGGGAUCGAAGACGAUCAGAUACCGUCGUAGUCUUAACCAUAAACUAUGCCGACUAGGGAUCGGAUGAUGUUAAUUUUUUAAUGACUCAUUCGGCGCCUUACGGGAAAC